UAGGGAAUCUUCCGCAAUGGGCGAAAGCCUGACGGAGCAACGCCGCGUGAGUGAUGAAGGUCUUCGGAUCGUAAAACUCUGUUAUUAGGGAAGAACAAAUGUGUAAGUAACUAUGCACGUCUUGACGGUACCUAAUCAGAAAGCCACGGCUAACUACGUGCCAGCAGCCGCGGUAAUACGUAGGUGGCAAGCGUUAUCCGGAAUUAUUGGGCGUAAAGCGCGCGUAGGCGGUUUUUUAAGUCUGAUGUGAAAGCCCACGGCUCAACCGUGGGGGGUCAUUGGAAACUGGAAAACUUGAGUGCAGAAGAGGAGAGUGGAAUUCCAUGUGUAGCGGUGAAAUGCGCAGAGAUAUGGAGGAACACCAGUGGCGAAAGCGACUUUCUGGUCUGUAACUGACGCUGAUGUGCGAAAGCGUGGGGAUCAAACAGG
rnacentral:rRNA from 1 species